rnacentral:rRNA from 1 species
GAUGAACGCUGACAGAAUGCUUAACACAUGCAAGUCGACCUGUGGCGGACGGGUGAGUAACGCGUAAAGAACUUGCCUCACAGCUAGGGCCAACCUUAGGAAACGAAUGCUAAUACCUGAAACUGUGAGAGAGCUUUGCGUCCCAUUAGCUAGUUGGAGAGGUAACGGCUCACCAAGGCGAUGAUGGGUAGCCGGACUGGGAGGGUGAUCGGCCACAAGGGGACUGGGGAGCGGGCAGUACGCCAACGGGAGGAAUGGGUGAAAAACUGAGGACGAUGGACCAAUGUCUGAUCAAGGCAUUCGGUUUGCACGAUGCAGUUUUAGGAAUGUAAAGUGAUUUCAGUAGAGGAGCGGUACCUACAGAAGAAGUGACGGCUAACUACGUGCCAGCAGCCGCGGUAAUUC